GACGAACGCUGGCGGCGUGCCUAAUACAUGCAAGUAGAACGCUGAAGAGAGGAGCUUGCUCUUCUUGGAUGAGUUGCGCACGGGUGAGUAACGCGUAGGUAACCUGCCUUGUAGCGGGGGAUAACUAUUGGAAACGAUAGCUAAUACCGCAUAACAAUGGAUGACACAUGUCAUUUAUUUGAAAGGGGCAAUUGCUCCACUACAAGAUGGACCUGCGUUGUAUUAGCUAGUAGGUGAGGUAAUGGCUCACCUAGGCGACGAUACAUAGCCGACCUGAGAGGGUGAUCGGCCACACUGGGACUGAGACACGGCCCAGACUCCUACGGGAGGCAGCAGUAGGGAAUCUUCGGCAAGGGGGGCAACCCUGACCGAGCAACGCCGCGUGAGUGAAGAAGGUUUUCGGAUCGUAAAGCUCUGUUGUAAGUCAAGAACGGGUGUGAGAGCGGAAAGUUCACACUGUGACGGUAGCUUACCAGAAAGGGACGGCUAACUACGUG
rnacentral:rRNA from 1 species